rnacentral:snRNA from 1 species
GUGCUCGCUUCAGCAGCACAUAUACUAAAAUUGGAACGAUACAGAAAAGAUUAGCAUGGCCCCUGUGCAAGGAUGAUAUGCAAAUUCAUGACGCAUUCCAUAUUUUU